AUUGCCCUAGUAACGGCGAGUGAAGCGGCAACAGCUCAAAUUUGAAAUCUGGCCCUCGGGUCCGAGUUGUAAUUUGCAGAGGAUGCUUUUGGCGCGGUGCCUUCCGAGUUCCCUGGAACGGGACGCCUUAGAGGGUGAGAGCCCCGUACGGUUGGACACCAAGCCUCUGUAAAGCUCCUUCGACGAGUCGAGUAGUUUGGGAAUGCUGCUCUAAAUGGGAGGUAAAUUUCUUCUAAAGCUAAAUAUUGGCCAGAGACCGAUAGCGCACAAGUAGAGUGAUCGAAAGAUGAAAAGCACUUUGAAAAGAGGGUUAAACAGCACGUGAAAUUGUUGAAAGGGAAGCGUUUGCGACCAGACCUUCUCCUGGCGGAUCAUCCGGUGGUUUCCACCGGUGCACUUCGCCAGGUCGAGGCCAGCAUCGGUCUCUGUAGGGGGAUAAAAGCUCUGGGAACGUAGCUCCUCCGGGAGUGUUAUAGCCCUCUGCAUAAUACCCUUACGGGGACCGAGGACCGCGCCUUCGGGCAAGGAUGCUGGCGUAAUGGUUGUCAACGACCCGUCUUGAAACACGGACCAAGGAGUCGAACAUUUGUGCGAGUGUUUGGGUGUUAAACCCUCACGCGUAAUGAAAGUGAACGGAGGUGAGAGCCCUUACGGGUGCAUCAUCGACCGAUCCUGAUGUCUUCGGAUGGAUUUGAGUAAGAGCAUAACUGUUCGGACCCGAAAGAUGGUGAACUAUGCGUGGAUAGGGUGAAGCCAGAGGAAACUCUGGUGGAGGCUCGCAGCGGUUCUGACGUGCAAAUCGAUCGUCAAAUCUGCGCAUGGGGGCGAAAGACUUAUCGAA
rnacentral:rRNA from 1 species